AAUGGUCCAUUCACACACCUAUCAAGAGAACAUCCCUGGUCAUCCCUACUGCCUCUGAUCUGGUGGAUUCACUAAACAAACAUGCUUCGUUUGUAAAUGAUGUCUGAGUGUUGGAGUGUUCCCCUGGCUAUAGGUAAAUGAUGUCUGAGUGUUGGAGUGUUCCCCUGGCUAUAGGUAAAUGAUGUCUGAGUGUUGGAGUGUUCCCCUGGCUAUAGGUAAAUGAUGUCUGAGUGUUGGAGUGUUCCCCUGGCUAUAGGUAAAUGAUGUCUGAGUGUUGGAGUGUUCCCCUGGCUAUAGGUAAAUGAUGUCUGAGUGUUGGAGUGUUCCCCUGGCUAUAGGUAAAUGAUGUCUGAGUGUUGGAGUGUUCCCCUGGCUAUAGGUAAAUGAUGUCUGAGUGUUGGAGUGUUCCCCUGGCUAUAGGUAAAUGAUGUCUGAGUGUUGGAGUGUUCCCCUGGCUAUAGGUAAAUGAUGUCUGAGUGUUGGAGUGUUCCCCUGGCUAUAGGUAAAUGAUGUCUGAGUGUUGGAGUGUUCCCCUGGCUAUAGGUAAAUGAUGUCUGAGUGUUGGAGUGUUCCCCUGGCUAUAGGUAAAUGAUGUCUGAGUGUUGGAGUGUUCCCCUGGCUAUAGGUAAAUGAUGUCUGAGUGUUGGAGUGUUCCCCUGGCUAUAGGUAAAUGAUGUCUGAGUGUUGGAGUGUUCCCCUGGCUAUAGGUAAAUGAUGUCUGAGUGUUGGAGUGUUCCCCUGGCUAUAGGUAAAUGAUGUCUGAGUGUUGGAGUGUUCCCCUGGCUAUCUAUGAAUAAAAAGAAAAAGAAAAUGGUGCCAUCUGAUUUGCUUCAUAUAAGGAAUUUUAAAUGAUUUAUACUUUUACUUUGGAUACUUAAUGUAAGCUUAUUUGAGUAAUUACAUUUCAUUUUGAUACUUAAUUAUAUUUAAAACCAAAUACUUUUAGACUUUUACUCAAGUAGUAUUUUAUUGGGUGCCUUUGACUUGACUG